rnacentral:tRNA from 1 species
CAAAGUGUAGCUUUUUCAAAAGUAUCUGGCUUACACCCACAAGAUUUCAACUCUUCAGACCACUUUGA